rnacentral:rRNA from 1 species
UGGGUGAAAGAAAACCAGCAAGUGGGUCCAAAGGAAUUGCAGAAGAACAUCAAAGAUAAGUUCAAGAUAGAUUUACCAUACAUGAGGUUGUUCAAUGGUAAACAACAUGCUAUGGAUUCUAUUUAUGGUAACUGGCAGGAAAGUUUUCAAUUGUUGUAUUCAUUCAAAGGUGAAGUGGAGAGGACAAGCCCAGGUAGUAUUGUAGAUAUUGAUCACCACACCGUGGAGUACACAUUCAGGGGAGUGACAAAGACCAAGGAAUGUUUUAGAAGGGUUUUUGUCUGCUUUGAGGCUUGUCGCCGGGGUUUUUUGGCAGGCUGCAGGCCUUAUUUGGCUAUUGAUGCCACUUUUCUCACAGGAAGGUUUAAAGGACAGUUAGUAGCAGCUUGUGCAGUUGAUGCACAUAGUUUUGUAUUUCCAGUUGCCUAUGGUGUGCUAGAGACAGAGUCUGAGGAGAGCUGGACUUGGUUUUUGCAUAAUCUCUGCCGGGCUAUUGCACAUCCCAAUGGGUUGGUCAUUCAUACAGAUGCCUGCAAAGGUUUAGAAGUGGCCGUGGACAAUGUGUUCCCUGGAGUAGAGCAUAGGGAAUGCAUGCGUCACCUUGCUGCAAAUUUCAUGAAGAAAUUCAAAGGAAAGGUGUAUACCGACAAUUUAUGGCCAGCAUCUUUGACAUGCAGUGUGAAGAAGCACAACUACCACUUGAGGCAGUUAUACAUGAAUCCCAAAGUGAAAGAAUACUUGGAAACACACCACUCCAAGUUAUGGGCUAGAAGCCAAUUCAGUGAAGUGAGCAAAGUUGACUAUGUGCACAAUAAUCUAGCAGAGUCUUUCAACUCAACGAUCCGAAAA